UUGUAAGAAAUGCCAAUAUUUGCCACCAUUGAGUCAACUACCUUCUCUUAAGUGUCUUAUUUUCAGAAAGUUGGAUGCUAUGCAAUACAUAUCAGAUAGUGGCGAUAGCAAUGAGUUUCCUUCUUCUUCAUCGGUACCAGUAGCAUUUUUUCCAUCCCUCAACCUAAUCGACCUUGAAGCUUGCCCUAAUCUUAAAGGGUGGUGGAAGAGAAGAGAUUGUUCUGUGGAGGUCAAAGGUGACAAUGCUCAUUUAUGCUCUUCAUUUCUUCGUCUUUCAACAUUACGCAUCUGGAGUUGUCCUAUGUUGACUUCCAUGCCAAUGUUUCCACAUCUUGAAGAAAAGUUGAUCCUAUGCAAUGCUAGCUUGAAGCCACUGCAACAGACAAUGAAGAUGAAUAUGUCAUCCACUCCUCUCUCAAAAUUGAAGCAUCUAAAACUAAUUUCCAUUACGGAACUAAAAACCCUGCCCGAGGAGUGGCUUCUGUGCCUCACUUCUCUCGAGUCCUUAUUGAUAUGGCACUGCCAUAGAUUAGAGUCUCUCUCCCAAGGUAUACGACAUCUCACUGCUCUUCAAGACUUGCAACUUGCUUUUUGCAAUGAGCUUGAUGUAGCUAAUGAUGAGAGUGGGACGCAAUGGCAAGGCCUUAAGAGCCUUCUCUCUCUGAGAUUCACGGAUCUUCCUAAAUUGGUGUCUCUCCCGUCAGGGCUUCAACAUGUUACCACUCUACAAAUGCUCAGGAUUUCUUAUUGUGAUAGCUUGACGGCUAUACCAGAGUGGAUCCACAAUUGCACGUCACUUCAAUUUCUUGAAAUUGGUGAAUGCUCCAAUUUGUCAUCUUUGCCUAACGGAAUGCGUAGGCAAACAUCUUCUCGGAGGUUGGAAAUUCGGGGGUGUCCCAAAAUUGCUCACAUCCCAGGGUUAUACUGACGGGGUCUGCUUCAGCAGAGAGUCAUACAUGUUCAGGUACUUCUUGGAUAUUAAAUUUCAGAGCUUCAUCGGUAACAAAACUAUUUGAUGAAGCACAGAAGAAAUAGGGAACAUGGAUGACGCACAGAGAAGGAAGAAUACACACUGCCUGAAUUCUUCAAAGAUAGGACCAUGGAGGAGACAUUUGUAUCCUUUCAGGCAAUCAAGAAUGACCUUAGAGGAAGAUUAAUGUGUUACAAACAAGAUUGGACUGGUGGCUUUAGAGCAGGCUUCAGGAUUUUGGCUCCCACCACAUAUAUCUUUUUUGCUUCAGCAAUACUGGUCAUCUCAUUACAAUCCUUUUAUUAUAUUAGUGAUUUUUCUUGGACUUUUUGAGAAACAAAG